UACGUAGGUGGCAAGCGUUGUCCGGAUUUAUUGGGCGUAAAGGGCGCGUAGGCGGCUCGGCACGUCCGUUGUGAAAUCGCCCGGCUCAACUGGGCGGGGUCAGCGGAUACGGCCGAGCUUGAGCAAGCUAGGGGGCAAUGGAAUUCCCGGUGUAGUGGUGGAAUGCGUAGAUAUCGGGAGGAACACCGGUGGCGAAGGCGGCAUCCUGGACCAACACUGACACUGAGGAGCGAAAGCCAGGGGAGCAAGCGGG
rnacentral:rRNA from 1 species